rnacentral:rRNA from 1 species
UAGUUGGUGAGGUAAUGGCUCACCAAGGCGACGAUCCGUAACUGGUCUGAGAGGAUGAUCAGUCACACUGGAACUGAGACACGGUCCAGACUCCUACGGGAGGCAGCAGUGGGGAAUAUUGGACAAUGGGCGAAAGCCUGAUCCAGCCAUGCCGCGUGUGUGAAGAAGGUCUUCGGAUUGUAAAGCACUUUAAGUUGGGAGGAAGGGCAGUAAGUCAAUACCUUGCUGUUUUGACGUUACCAACAGAAUAAGCACCGGCUAACUUCGUGCCAGCAGCCGCGGUAAUACGAAGGGUGCAAGCGUUAAUCGGAAUUACUGGGCGUAAAGCGCGCGUAGGUGGUUUUGUAAGUUGGAGGUGAAAUCCCCGGGCUCAACCUGGGAACUGCCUCCAAAACUGCAUGACUAGAGUACGGUAGAGGGUAGUGGAAUUUCCUGUGUAGCGGUGAAAUGCGUAGAUAUUGGAAGGAACACCAGUGGCGAAGGCGACUACUCGGACUGAUACUGACACUGAGUGCGAAAGCGUGGGGAGCAACACGGAUUAGAUACCCUGGUA